rnacentral:rRNA from 1 species
AACGCGAAGAACCUUACCAGCCCUUGACAUGUCCGGUAUGGGGUGGGGAGACCCACUUCUUCAGUUCGGCUGGCCGGAACACAGGUGCUGCAUGGCUGUCGUCAGCUCGUGUCGUGAGAUGUUGGGUUAAGUCCCGCAACGAGCGCAACCCCCGUCCUUAGUUGCUACCAUUUAGUUGAGCACUCUAAGGAGACUGCCGGUGAUAAGCCGCGAGGAAGGUGGGGAUGACGUCAAGUCCUCAUGGCCCUUACGGGCUGGGCUACACACGUGCUACAAUGGCGGUGACAAUGGGGCGCUAAGGGGCAACCCUUCGCAAAUCUCAAAAAGCCGUCUCAGUUCGGAUUGUGCUCUGCAACUCGAGCACAUGAAGUUGGAAUCGCUAGUAAUCGCAGAUCAGCACGCUGCGGUGAAUACGUUCCCGGGCCUUGUACACACCGACGCGUA